rnacentral:lncRNA from 1 species
AGGUCUAACUCUAAAAUUGUUCGGCCAUGUUGCAAAGAUAGUCGAAGAAAAACCACAGUUCUACGAAAGGAAAUACUAAAUUUGAGGGACGAAUAGGUCAAAUUUGAUUGCCCCAUCAUGCUAAAGUCACAUGAUUGGUCACAUGUUCAAUGCAUAUCACCAAGUUUGGUCUCAGUCUCCUAUUGGCUUUUAUCCACAGCAUCAUUUCUUACUUGAAUUGUUCUGACAUGCUCUGCAAACAUAUGUUAUGUGACCUUAACAGUGAGAGCUGCUAUGGUUCAUCUGGUAUUAGAGUUGCUUUUGCUAAGAGGGAUUUGACCAACCAUGUUCCAUUAGACCCAGCAUAAUAAUAAGUACAGUCAUAUAGUCCUCUGCAAAAAAUGUUGUGAUUAUAUAAGAUCCAUGAACAAUUCUACAUAAAAAAUUCUGUGCCUUCCCGAAUCAUAUCUACAUUGUUUGGCCACCUACCACUUCAUGUCUUGAAACCUGCCUUGCUAAACUUCAUCACCAUUCCAGAGGCAUUGUUUGAAGAUGUCUGCCUUAAAUGAUCACAGAAACUGACCUGAAAUACUCCAUUACCAAGAAUCUGAAAACCUGUGAUCCAGCUGUAACUGUAUAUGCAACUAGUCUGAUUAUGUUAGCACUCCUUUAAAGAACGAGUUUGGCCUUCAAGGCACAGCCCCUUUCUUAAAUAUCCCGCAGGGUAACCAUGUGUUGGUUAAAGGGCUUGACGACCCCUCGGCACCCGAGUCAAAUGGCAGACGGGUAGGGACCGUCUGUCAAGAAACCAAGAUUUUACAUGACAUAGACGAAUAUACAACGACAUUAUGGCGUGGUAAAACAUGCUUAUAACGGCAUAUACUUUUCUUGAAAAGGGGAUUCCUUUGUGCACUGUUUCCCCCAGAAGAAUCUGGUGGGCAAAAGCAGAGGGUCGCAAUAGGUAAUUCUACCGAAAACGACAAUAACAAGGACAUAACUUAGACAACAGUGCUGUGCCUGUGGAUGUAAAGUAUACAUUUCAGGAGUACAAAACAACAGCACGAUGAAAUGAGAAAGCAAUACACGAUUUACAUUGUUUACUACUUUACUUCAAGUUGAUUAAGCAAUGCAUUCAACAACUAUGACUGAUAUACAAAGACGGAAACCAAAUCGACCAACUGAAUUAGUUGAAAUUUCGAAAAAAAAGUCGUGGCCCAAACUUUAGCCAAAGGCAAAAAAAACAAGAACUUCACAACGAACAAACGAAAACAACUUUAGUAAAGGGGAAGUAGGUAACUCACGAACGGCGGCAGAAAGCGUUCUGCUUUGUAAACAACGAUUGGGAUAUACUUGAAAAAGCAAGAAAAUUACCGCAGUGGUUGGUGCGAGGCAUCUCCGAAGAAGCGAUAGAGAUGUUAAGAUGACAGUUUAUAUACCGAUUGUUGAUUAUAGAAGAUUUGAUGAAUUAACAUAGCUAUGCAGCAAAAAGGUUGAUACAUUAGUCAAGUUUAUUUUACAAACUGGAAACUACUUGAGCAAGUUAAAUUGUGAAUUACAUCGACUGUAACCGACGUAUAAUUGGCCACUGAAUUUGUCGAUUCAUGAUGGCAUUCCCGGCAUUUUGUUGCCAGAAUUUGGUAGCAUUCAAACAUUGUAAACCUAACAAAACAACGAACGAACAAACGACAAUUCCUUGCAGAAGAUCGGCAAUGAAAGUAUUUCACGCGGAUUAUAUUCCGUGUUGCUAGGGGACAGAAGUUAGAAAUGGUACAACAUGGUGGAGAAACGAGCAUUUGUUAGAACAGCGACGCAGUAAAAUGACGAAAAUGAUGAUGAUGAAGAAUGAUGAUGAUGAAUGAUGAUAAACAAAAAGAAAUUAUUUUAAAGAAGCGUUAUUCCGCUUCAAAUAUAAACGACUCACAUCCAUUUAUUUGGAAAACUAUAAACACAACACGACGUACAACGACUGUUUAAACUCGGUUCCAGCGUGCGUUUGGAUUGUCAAAACGGCCCCAGAAAUUUUACGUCUUGCCUUGCAGCAAGCAGAUUCGAUGUUUUCUUUGCGAUGAAUGUCAGAGCAUGCAUUGCACUGGGAUAUGAAGACAUAAAUCCAAAUGCAGCUUGAAACGGAGGGCAAGAAAAAGAAAACGAAAGAGAAGAAGAUGCAAAAGAAGAACAACUUAGAUAUGAAGAAUAUAUUUUUCUUUGUUUUGAUGUUUAAACCGGCGUGUUUCUUUUUAAGUGCAUUUAAAACUCCACAAAUUGAUGCCAAUGAAAUGCAGUUCAGUUUAUUCUACAUAACUCGCUGUUUGAUCAUCUAAAGCAAAGGAGAAUGAAUUAAAUUAAACGACACUGACAUUGACAUUGACUUUAAACAAUAGACUAAAUGCAGUCGCUGGUGCAUGUAUUUAAAUCAGGCCGAAUGUAGAGAGCGGGCAGAGUACGAACUUCGGAGAAAGAUUGUUGAUUUUCUACAAGGAACGUGCAAUCUUAACGAUUGCAUUAAAAUUGAAUAUAUCGACUUA